rnacentral:lncRNA from 7 species
AGUGUUUCUCCACAUACAAUCACAGAACUGUUCUCAGCUGAACUCUGAAGCACAGGGUGUUCACUCCUGCAUCCCAUCUAGACUUGGUCUGGCACUUAAGGCUCAUUCCCAGUGUGCCCACAGUAGCUUUCUCCCUAGAGUUUAAUACUGAACGUGGAUGACUGGUCCUACCAGAGCUGGGUUGUGGAGGAAGAUUCCAGCUAGCUAAAAUUCCACUUGCAGAAGAAUGCAACAAAUUCUCUUCUACUGACUAAGCAAGUGUGCUUCCAGUUGGAACAAGAGAUGGAACAGAAGAGCAGUGUCUGAGGCUGAGUAUAUAAUCUCUUCAUAUUUCCAUGGAGAGAUUUAAAGCAAGACCCUCAUGGAACAAAAGCUUGGACAUCUAGCAAAGAGCCAGUGAAAGCUCUAUUAUGCCUCUUUGGAUGUGUGUUUUCUGCUUCUAUUUGUUAAAUACAGCUUAUCCCCUAUUUUCUAGCUGACUGAAGGGUCCUUUGAAAAAUUCAGGCAAUUACAGUUCACUGUAAGCAAAAUAUGUUUCUAUCUGAGUUUUGAAAUCGGAGAGGAACAAUAUGUCCACAUUUCAAGCAAUAUGACUUCUGAAUAAUCAAAGCUAAAAUAAUUGAGAUUAACAUGUAUCUCCUAGUUGUGUUUGGUCUGUUUGCUUGUUUGUUUGCUUUUUAGGAGUGUUACACUACAUUAUUUCUCUUAUCUUUCAAACUGUUGAUCAAUAAGACAGCAGUGAUUAUUUGCCAGUCCUCUGUUCCCUUGUGACAGGACAACAGAGUAUUGCAUCUUCUUCAAUACAUUUUCUUCAGUGGCAAUUUGCUUUAAACAGUCAAAAAAAUCACAGACCAAUCUGGUAUGAUUUGGAGGUAAAAGGGAAUGAAGGAUAGAAUUUGAUGAUUUAAUUUUUCUGUUAGCAUUUUUCAUUUCAUUGAUGUAGCAUCUCUCUGUGUUGUUUCAUAUUAGACUUUGGUAAUAGUCUAUGCAAGGCAGCUGUUCUCCUCAACUGUUAUUACUGAAAUGGUUAAAAACAUCAGAACCAAAUAAUUUUAAAGCACUAGUGUAACUAUCAUUUUUAAUGCAAUUUUCUGCUAAAUGUUAAUGUUACAGUGAUUUUUAAAUUUGAUUAAUUUUAUCAAAUUUCAUCUAGAAACAUGUUUAUACACUCACAGAAUUGUAGUUUUAAGGAUCUCUCUCCCUCUGCUUGGAAUUUAUAACAUAAAAGAAUAAAUAUGGUUGAAAACUAGCCACAUUUUUUAGAAC